GCUUGCUUCUCUGAUGUUAGCGGCGGACGGGGGAGUAACACGUGGAUAACCUACCUAUAAGACUGGGAUAACUUCGGGAAACCGGAGCUAAUACCGGAUAAUAUUUUGAACCGCAUGGUUCAAAAGUAAAAGAUGGUCUUGCUGUCACUUAUAGAUGGAUCCGCGCUGCAUUAGCUAGUUGGUAAGGUGAACGGCUUACCAAGGCAACGAUGCAUAGCCGACCUGAGAGGGUGAUCGGCCACACUGGAACUGAGGCACGGUCCAGACUCCUACGGGAGGCAGCAGUAGGGAAUCUACCGCAAUGGGCGAAAGCCUGACGGAGCAACGCCGCGUGAGUGAUGAAGGUCUUCGGAUCGUAAAACUCUGUUAUUAGGGAAGAACAUAUGUGUAAGUAACUGUGCACAUCUUGACGGUACCUAAUCAGAAAGCCACGGCUAACUACGUGCCAGCAGCCGCGGUAAUACGUAGGUGGCAAGCGUUAUCCGGAAUUAUUGGGCGUAAAGCGCGCGUAGGCGGUUUUUUAAGUCUGAUGUGAAAGCCCACGGCUCAACCGUGGAGGGUCAUUGGAAACUGGAAAACUUGAGUGCAGAAGAGGAAAGUGGAAUUCCAUGUGUAGCGGUGAAAUGCGCAGAGAUAUGGAGGAACACCAGUGGUGAAGGCGACUUUCUGGUCUGUAACUGACGCUGAUGUGCGAAAGCGUGGGGAUCAAACAGGAUUAGAUACCCUGGUAGUCCACGCCGUAAACGAUGGGUGCUAAGUGUUAGGGGGUUUCCGCCCCUUAGUGCUGCAGCUAACGCAUUAAGCACUCCGCCUGGGGAGUACGACCGCAAGUG
rnacentral:rRNA from 1 species